UACGUAGGGUCCGAGCGUUGUCCGGAAUUAUUGGGCGUAAAGGGCUCGUAGGCGGUUCGUCACGUCGGGAGUGAAAACUCGGGGCUUAACCCCGGGCCUGCAGUGGGUACGGGCAGACUAGAGUGCGGUAGGGGAGACUGGAAUUCCUGGUGUAGAGGUGAAAUUCGUAGAUAUCAGGAGGAACACCAGUGGCGAAGGCGGCUUCCUGGACACCAACUGACGCUGAGACGCGAAGCGUGGGGAGCAAACAGG
rnacentral:rRNA from 1 species